GACGAACCGUGCGAACGUUAUUCGGAAUCACUGGGCUUAAAGCGCGUGUAGGCGGAUGGGAACGUCGGUAGUUGAAAGCCCCCCGGCUCAACCGGGGAAGUGGUGCCGAAACGACCCGUCUGGAGGGACGUAGGGGGACCUGGAACUUCCGGUGGAGCGGUGAAAUGCGUUGAGAUCGGAAGGAACGCCCGUGGCGAAAGCGAGGUCCUGGACGUCUACUGAACGCGUGAGACG
rnacentral:rRNA from 1 species